rnacentral:misc_RNA from 1 species
GUUGAAGAACGCAGCGAAAUGCGAUAAGUAGUGUGAAUUGCAGAAUUCAGUGAAUCAUCGAAUCUUUGAACGCACAUUGCGCCCCUUGGUAUCCCGAGGGGCAUGCCUGUUCGAGCGUCAUUUCACCACUCAAGCCUGGCUUGGUGUUGGGCGACGUCCCCUUUAGGGACGCGCCUCGAAACGCUCGGCGGCGUGGCACCGGCUUUAAGCGUAGCAGAAUCUUUCGCUUUGGAAGUCGGGGCCCCGCCUGCCGGAAUACCUACUCGUAAGGUUGACCUCGGAUCAGGCAGGGAUACCCGCUGAACUUAAGCAUAUCAAUAAGCGGAGGA